UCUACCUGGUGGAGUUAACUUUUUCCCCCUGUUUGCUGCAUUUCCUACUGAUCAGAAGAACACUUCAAAAUAUCUGGUUCUGAUCUAUACAUUUUUGCUAACUUACUAGGAGUCAGAUACCAUCUAAACAUCAUUUUCAGAAGACAUCGAGGCUGCCUAAAUGGAUAUAAGAAACUGGUUCCAAA